rnacentral:rRNA from 1 species
CCUACGGGUGGCUGCAGUGGGGAAUAUUGCACAAUGGGGGAAACCCUGAUGCAGCGACGCCGCGUGAGUGAAGAAGUAUUUCGGUAUGUAAAGCUCUAUCAGCAGGGAAGAAAAUGACGGUACCUGAUUAAGAAGCCCCGGCUAACUACGUGCCAGCAGCCGCGGUAAUACGUAGGGGGCAAGCGUUAUCCGGAUUUACUGGGUUUAAGGGGUGCGCAGGCGGAAUGUCAAGUCAGCGGUAAAAUUUCGGGGCUCAACCCCGUCGUGCCGUUGAAACUGGCGUUCUUGAGUGAGCGAGAAGUAUGCGGAAUGCGUGGUGUAGCGGUGAAAUGCAUAGAUAUCACGCAGAACUCCGAUUGCGAAGGCAGCAUACCGGCGCUCAACUGACGCUCAUGCACGAAAGCGUGGGUAUCGAACAGGAUUAGAUACCCCUGGUAGUC